UUAAGCGACUAAGCGUACACGGUGGAUGCCCUGGCAGUCAGAGGCGAUGAAGGACGUGCUAAUCUGCGAUAAGCGUCGGUAAGGUGAUAUGAACCGUUAUAACCGGCGAUUUCCGAAUGGGGAAACCCAGUGUGUUUCGACACACUAUCAUUAACUGAAUCCAUAGGUUAAUGAGGCGAACCGGGGGAACUGAAACAUCUAAGUACCCCGAGGAAAAGAAAUCAACCGAGAUUCCCCCAGUAGCGGCGAGCGAACGGGGAGCAGCCCAGAGCCUGAAUCAGUGUGUGUGUUAGUGGAAGCGUCUGGAAAGGCGCGCGAUACAGGGUGACAGCCCCGUACACAAAAAUGCACAUGCUGUGAGCUCGAUGAGUAGGGCGGGACACGUGGUAUCCUGUCUGAAUAUGGGGGGACCAUCCUCCAAGGCUAAAUACUCCUGACUGACCGAUAGUGAACCAGUACCGUGAGGGAAAGGCGAAAAGAACCCCGGCGAGGGGAGUGAAAAAGAACCUGAAACCGUGUACGUACAAGCAGUGGGAGCACGCUUAGGCGUGUGACUGCGUACCUUUUGUAUAAUGGGUCAGCGACUUAUAUUCUGUAGCAAGGUUAACCGAAUAGGGGAGCCCAAGGGAAACCGAGUCUUAACUGGGCGUUAAGUUGCAGGGUAUAGACCCGAAACCCGGUGAUCUAGCCAUGGGCAGGUUGAAGGUUGGGUAACACUAACUGGAGGACCGAACCGACUAAUGUUGAAAAAUUAGCGGAUGACUUGUGGCUGGGGGUGAAAGGCCAAUCAAACCGGGAGAUAGCUGGUUCUCCCCGAAAGCUAUUUAGGUAGCGCCUCGUGAACUCAUCUCCGGGGGUAGAGCACUGUUUCGGCAAGGGGGUCAUCCCGACUUACCAACCCGAUGCAAACUGCGAAUACCGGAGAAUGUUAUCACGGGAGACACACGGCGGGUGCUAACGUCCGUCGUGAAGAGGGAAACAACCCAGACCGCCAGCUAAGGUCCCAAAGUCAUGGUUAAGUGGGAAACGAUGUGGGAAGGCCCAGACAGCCAGGAUGUUGGCUUAGAAGCAGCCAUCAUUUAAAGAAAGCGUAAUAGCUCACUGGUCGAGUCGGCCUGCGCGGAAGAUGUAACGGGGCUAAACCAUGCACCGAAGCUGCGGCAGCGACGCUUAUGCGUUGUUGGGUAGGGGAGCGUUCUGUAAGCCUGUGAAGGUGUGCUGUGAGGCAUGCUGGAGGUAUCAGAAGUGCGAAUGCUGACAUAAGUAACGAUAAAGCGGGUGAAAAGCCCGCUCGCCGGAAGACCAAGGGUUCCUGUCCAACGUUAAUCGGGGCAGGGUGAGUCGACCCCUAAGGCGAGGCCGAAAGGCGUAGUCGAUGGGAAACAGGUUAAUAUUCCUGUACUUGGUGUUACUGCGAAGGGGGGACGGAGAAGGCUAUGUUGGCCGGGCGACGGUUGUCCCGGUUUAAGCGUGUAGGCUGGUUUUCCAGGCAAAUCCGGAAAAUCAAGGCUGAGGCGUGAUGACGAGGCACUACGGUGCUGAAGCAACAAAUGCCCUGCUUCCAGGAAAAGCCUCUAAGCAUCAGGUAACAUCAAAUCGUACCCCAAACCGACACAGGUGGUCAGGUAGAGAAUACCAAGGCGCUUGAGAGAACUCGGGUGAAGGAACUAGGCAAAAUGGUGCCGUAACUUCGGGAGAAGGCACGCUGAUAUGUAGGUGAAGCGACUUGCUCGUGGAGCUGAAAUCAGUCGAAGAUACCAGCUGGCUGCAACUGUUUAUUAAAAACACAGCACUGUGCAAACACGAAAGUGGACGUAUACGGUGUGACGCCUGCCCGGUGCCGGAAGGUUAAUUGAUGGGGUUAGCGGUAACGCGAAGCUCUUGAUCGAAGCCCCGGUAAACGGCGGCCGUAACUAUAACGGUCCUAAGGUAGCGAAAUUCCUUGUCGGGUAAGUUCCGACCUGCACGAAUGGCGUAAUGAUGGCCAGGCUGUCUCCACCCGAGACUCAGUGAAAUUGAACUCGCUGUGAAGAUGCAGUGUACCCGCGGCAAGACGGAAAGACCCCGUGAACCUUUACUAUAGCUUGACACUGAACAUUGAGCCUUGAUGUGUAGGAUAGGUGGGAGGCUUUGAAGUGUGGACGCCAGUCUGCAUGGAGCCGACCUUGAAAUACCACCCUUUAAUGUUUGAUGUUCUAACGUUGACCCGUAAUCCGGGUUGCGGACAGUGUCUGGUGGGUAGUUUGACUGGGGCGGUCUCCUCCUAAAGAGUAACGGAGGAGCACGAAGGUUGGCUAAUCCUGGUCGGACAUCAGGAGGUUAGUGCAAUGGCAUAAGCCAGCUUGACUGCGAGCGUGACGGCGCGAGCAGGUGCGAAAGCAGGUCAUAGUGAUCCGGUGGUUCUGAAUGGAAGGGCCAUCGCUCAACGGAUAAAAGGUACUCCGGGGAUAACAGGCUGAUACCGCCCAAGAGUUCAUAUCGACGGCGGUGUUUGGCACCUCGAUGUCGGCUCAUCACAUCCUGGGGCUGAAGUAGGUCCCAAGGGUAUGGCUGUUCGCCAUUUAAAGUGGUACGCGAGCUGGGUUUAGAACGUCGUGAGACAGUUCGGUCCCUAUCUGCCGUGGGCGCUGGAGAACUGAGGGGGGCUGCUCCUAGUACGAGAGGACCGGAGUGGACGCAUCACUGGUGUUCGGGUUGUCAUGCCAAUGGCACUGCCCGGUAGCUAAAUGCGGAAGAGAUAAGUGCUGAAAGCAUCUAAGCACGAAACUUGCCCCGAGAUGAGUUCUCCCUGACUCC
rnacentral:rRNA from 2 species